AAAGAGUUCGUAGGUGGUUAAAAAAGUUGGUGGUGAAAUCCCAGAGCUUAACUCUGGAACUGCCAUCAAAACUUUUUAGCUAGAGUAUGAUAGAGGAAAGCGGAAUUUCUAGUGUAGAGGUGAAAUUCGUAGAUAUUAGAAAGAAUACCGAUUGCGAAGGCAGCUUUCUGGAUCAUUACUGACACUGAGGAACGAAAGCAUGGGUAGCGAAGAGGAUUAGAUACCCUCGUAGUCCAUGCCGUAAACGAUGUGUGUUAGACGUUGGAAAUUUAUUUUCAGUGUCGCAGCGAAAGCGAUAAACACACCGCCUGGGGAGUACGACCGCAAGGUUAAAACUCAAAUGAAUUGACGGGGACCCGCACAAGUAGUGGAGCAUGUGGUUUAAUUCGAAGAUACGCGCAGAACCUUACCAACACUUGACAUGUUCGUCGCGACUCUAAGAGAUUAGAGUUUUCGGUUCGGCCGGACGAAACACAGGUGCUGCAUGGCUGUCGUCAGCUCGUGUCGUGAGAUGUUGGGUUAAGUCCCGCAACGAGCGCAACCCUUACUUUUAGUUGCCAUCAUUUAGUUGGGCACUCUGAAAGAACUGCCAGUGAUAAGCUGGAGGAAGGUGGGGAUGACGUCAAGUCCUCAUGGCCCUUACGUGUUGGGCUACACACGUGCUACAAUGGUAUCUACAACAGGAAGCAAGAUGGCAACGUUAAGCAAAUCCCAAAAAGAUACCUCAGUUCGGAUUGCACUCUGCAACUCGAGUGCAUGAAGCUGGAAUUACUAGUAAUCGUGGAUCAGCGUGCCACGGUGAAUACGUUCCCGGGUCUUGCACACACUGCCCGUC
rnacentral:rRNA from 1 species